ACACGGAAGCUAGGUAUCUCAAAAGCUUAGGCCUCUGUAUUCAAGCUGUUGCAGUCCAGUCUGUCGCUAACACUGCCUGUGGCUGCAGAUCCUGCUGUGUGUGUCCUAUGGCAUAGGCCUGUAGAGGUUCUUCACCCAGCUCCACCUGCUGGGAGGGAGCCGUUGUCCUCUGUCGUCCCAAAGCACAUGUCCUCAACAAAGAAGCCAGUCCCGUCCUGAUGAACACAGGACAUUCUGGAGCUGAGCUGAAGGUGGCCCAAGAUUUCAGGAAAAGGGAUCAACCCGGCGUCUGGAGCACUAUUCUGAGUAAAUGCCUUCCUAAGAACUGCCUCCUUGGCUGUUCGACAGUGAACACAGGCCCUGCAUUUCCCAGGGACUCAAACAUUGUCUCAGUAGGUUUUAGAGGACUCAGUUAAAAAUUCUUCCCCCAAGCAAUUUCUAUCCUCUUUUCUUUUUUUUUUUUUUCUGAUAAA